UAAUAAGGUACCAUUCUUAAGUCUAUAUAUAUGUUUUAAUUAUGAUUUUUUCUGAUUCCUUAGUUUUUAUAUAUCAUAUCCAUUACAGACAAGUAAUAUUCAAUACUUAAAGUUGUAUAUAAUAUAUUAUGCUCAUUCUAGCUGCCUAUGUCACAGUUAAGGUACAAUUUACUUCCUUUUCUUCUAUUUUGUGUGAUUUUUUUUUGUAUUAAUUAUUUAAUUAUUCAUAAUUCUAUAGGUAGUAAUAACUCUUGGAGAAUUACAGUCAAUUGGAGACCUAUAUGACAUCCAUACAAUAGUAACAUUGUUUCUCAUUGGAAUUGCAUCUGUUACCCCUACACUUAUAACCAAAAAGAAAGAAUCAUUAUAAUUUGAUGAUAAAGUUUCAAACCAACCCCUCUCGAGCAUCCAACUCUGUACAAAAUUACAAAUUUACCCUCCAUUUGCACCUGGGGUUUUGUUGGGAUUCAAUGGUUGGUGCUUCAGAUGUUGGAGAGGCACAAACAGAUAUAGAAGGGUAAAACGGUAAAAAGUUUAAGAUGGAGCUUACUCCUUUAUGUUAAUAAUCCUGGUAGAAAGAGAAUCCUGUAAGAGAUGGAUUCUAUUUUAUGAAAUGUGAUCAAGGGUUCAAAGAUUAAAUUUUGAUAUAUAAUGAGUUAAUUAAUUAUAUUCGUAAUGUUUAAGGUCUGUUAUGACUGGGGCAAAGGUGCUGAAAAUCAUAAAAAUUUUGUUAUUAAUGUUACAGGAGUCUGAGGUUAAAGGGAAACCUCGCAUUGGAACAAGUGGAAGGAAGUGAAUAAUGUUGUUUUCUAUUUCUAGAUUGUAAAUGUAAGGAGGUAAAUCAAUUUGUGCAGUUUUGCAUCGAUUCUUAGACGCAUGUAGUAGACAAUGAGGUUUGGCCUUUUUUUCUUUUCUAAUAUUUGUGGUCAAUUGGUUUUUUGAUUAUGCUUUUGACUGUUUGUGAUUUUUUAAUUUGUGAUUUCUCAAAUUUCUUUUUUCUUGAAUAUGUGUUCUUCAGAAGCAAGCUAUUGACAAUUAACUGAGAUAAAGAAGCAAGACUUAGAGUUUCAGACAAGAAUAUUGAAGAAUGCAACUCUUCACAACGACUGAAAGCAAGAGUUAUCUUUUCAGACUGGAUUCAGUAGUUUUCUAGACACGAUUAUGGAUGAGCCAAAAUUAGUGAUGAUUUUACCUUUUCGCAGUGCAGAAGCACUUAGAGAGAAGAAGAGAUUGCCUGAAAAGGCAACGAUAAAUUCAACAGACGAGAAAGAAAAAGAGUUAAGUGUUUCUUUAUUAAAAAUACAGGUUGGAUUCAUUCCUAAAGCCUCCAAACAUCUCUGAGAUGUCAGUCAUAACAAAUUAAUCCUUUAUUUCAUUAUUUCCAUUCAUGUAUCAUAACAUUUUGAUUUGACCUUCUUUUUUUUGGACUUUUGACUUUGAUGACUUAUUAAUGGAGGAAAUAGAUGUUGGGGAGGGUAAUAGUUGUUGGAUGGAAAGAAAUGAAAAUGUACUACCAUGAUUUGUUUAAU